rnacentral:rRNA from 1 species
GACGAACGCUGGCGGCGUGCUUAAUACAUGCAAGUCGAGCGAGGCCCAUCCAGUGGCAACACUGGGGAAGGCCGAGCGGCGAACGGGUGAGUAACACGUGAGCAACCUGCCCCGAAGUCUGGAAUAACAUCGGGAAACCGGUGCUAAUACCGGAUUGCCCCACCUGACCGCAUGAUCGGGUGAGGAAAGAUCUAUCGCUUCGGGAGGGGCUCGCGGCCUAUCAGCUAGUGGCGGGGUAACGGCCCACCAAGGCGUCGACGGGUAGCUGGUCUGAGAGGACGACCAGCCACACUGGGACUGAGACACGGCCCAGACUCCUACGGGAGACAGCAGUAGGGAAUCUUGCGCAAUGGGCGAAAGCCUGACGCAGCAACGCCGCGU